CGGAUGUAGCCAAGUGGAUCAAGGCAGUGGAUUUGUGAUC
rnacentral:tRNA from 6 species